UCGAACAGGAUUAGAUACCCUGGUAGCCCACACAGUAAACGAUGAUUACUGAUUGUAUGGCCCUUAGAGGUUAUGCGGUUAAGCGAAAGCGUUAAGUAAUCCACCUGGGGAGUACGCCGGCAACGGUGAAACUCAAAGGAAUUGACGGGGGCCCGCACAAGCGGAGGAACAUGUGGUUUAAUUCGAUGAUACGCGAGGAACCUUACCCGGGUUUGAAAUGUGCACGAAUAAUCUGGAAACAGGUUAGCCAGCAAUGGCGUGCAUGUAGGUGCUGCAUGGUUGUCGUCAGCUCGUGCCGUGAGGUGUCGGCUUAAGUGCCAUAACGAGCGCAACCCUUACCGUCAGUUACUAUCAGGUAAAGCUGAGGACUCUGGCGGGACUGCCGCCGCAAGGUGUGAGGAAGGCGGGGAUGACGUCAAAUCAGCACGGCCCUUACGUCCGGGGCGACACACGUGUUACAAUGGGGGGUACAGCGGGUUGCUACCUGGCAACAGGAUGCUAAUCUCAAAAACCCCUCCCAGUUCGGAUCGAAGUCUGCAACCCGACUUCGUGAAGCUGGAUUCGCUAG
rnacentral:rRNA from 1 species